CCACCGCUAUUGGAAACCGCUUAAGACAUGCGAGUUGAGAGGGUUAGACCCUCGGAAACUGCUCAGUAACACGCGGACAAUCUGCCCUUCGGUGGGGGAUAAUCUCGGGAAACUGAGCAUAAUACCCCAUAGGCCACGGAUGCUGGAAUGCUUCGUGGCUGAAAGCUCCGGCGCCAAAGGAUGAGUCUGCGGCCUAUCAGGUAGUAGUGGGUGUAACGGACCCACUAGCCAGUGACGGGUACGGGCGUUGGGAGACGUCGCCCGGAGAUGGAUUCUGAGACACGAAUCCAGGCCCUACGGGGCGCAGCAGUCGCGAAAACUUGUCAAUGCGGGAAACCGCGAACAGGGGAGUCCAAGUGCAUGCGCUAUGCGUAUGCUGUUCGGUUGCCUAAAAAGCAGCUGAAGGAAGGGCUGGGUAAGACAGGUGCCAGCCGCCGCGGUAAUACCUGCAGCCCGAGUGGUGGUCGAUAUUAUUGAGCCUAAAGCGUCCGUAGCCGACCUAGUAAACCCUUGGGUAAAUCGGGCAGCUCAACUGUCCGAAUUCCGAGGGGACUGCUAGAUUUGGGACCGGGAGAGGUCAGAGGUACUCCGGGGGUAGGGGCUAAAUGCGCGAUGGGCCGUACUUACGGUUACCCAUCAUGCUUAGCAUUCCUGUAAUCUUCNGGGGACCACCAGUGGCGAAGGCGUCUGACUAGAACGGAUCCGACGGUAAGGGACGAAACCCUGGGGCGCGAACCGGAUUAGAUACCCGGGUAGUCCAGGGCGUAAACGCUGCAGNCUUNGGUGUUGGGUGUCCUACGAGGGCGCCCAGUGCCGGAGUGAAGAUGUUAAGCCUGCCGCUUGGGGAGUACGUCCGCAAGGAUGAAGCUUAAAGGAAUUGGCGGGAGAGCACAGCAACGGGAGGAGCGUGCGGUUCAAUUGGAUUCAACGCCGGAAAACUCACCGGGAGCGACGAUUACAUGAAGGUCAGGCUGAUGACCUUACCUGAUUUUUCGAGAGGUGGUGCAUGGCCGUCGUCAGUUCGUACCGUAAGGCGUUCUGUUAAGUCAGAUAACGAACGAGACCCUCGUCCUUAAUUGCCAGUUCAUUCUCCGGAAUGGGCGCACAUUAAGGGGACCGCUGGCGCUAAGUCAGAGGAAGGAGAGGUCAACGGUAGGUCAGUAUGCCCCGAAUCUCCCGGGCUACACGCGCGCUACAAAGGACAGGACAAUGGGCUGCGACACCGAGAGGUGAAGCCAAUCCCGAAACCUGUUCGUAGUUCGGACUGAGGGCUGUAACUCGCCCUCACGAAGCUGGAUUCCGUAGUAAUCGCGGGUCAGCAUCCCGCGGUGAAUAUGCCCCUGCUCUUUGCACACACCGCCCGUCAAACCACCCGAGUUGGGUCUGAGUGAGGGUGCUCUUUUUGGGGCGCUCGAACUCAGGUUCAGCAAGGAGGGUU
rnacentral:rRNA from 1 species